rnacentral:rRNA from 1 species
GACGAACGCUGGCGGCGUGCUUAACACAUGCCAGUCGACGACGCUACUGAGUAGCAAUAUUUAGUAGUGGAGUGGCGCAAGGGUGAGUAAUGUAUACGUAACCAACCCAUCGGAGACGGAUAACAUUUCGAAAGGGAUGCUAAAACGGCAUGAAGCCACGAUUUCGCAUGAGAUUGUGGUUAAAGAACCGGUAACAGGUUGCCGAUGGCUGGGCGUAUAUCCGAUUAGCUAGUUGGUAGUGUAAUGGACUACCAAGGCGACGAUCGGUAGCUGGUCUGAGAGGAUGAUCAGCCACACUGGCACUGAGACACGGGCCAGACUCCUACGGGAGGCAGCAGUGGGGAAUAUUGGGCAAUGCCCGCAAGGGUGACCCAGCAACGCCGCGUGGAGGAUGAAGGCCGUAAGGUUGUAAACUCUGACAAGCAGGGAAGAACGGCUAUGGUAAAAGGCCAUAGAAUGACGGUACCUGCCUGAAGCCCCGGCUAACUACGUG